rnacentral:rRNA from 1 species
GAAGUGCAGCAAUGCAUUUUAGCGGCGGACGGGUGAGUAACGCGUGGGUAACCUGCCUUACACUGGGGGAUAACAUAGUGAAAACUAUGCUAAAACCGCAUAAGACCACAGUAUCACAUGAUACAGGGGUAAAAACUCCGGUGGUGUAAGAUGGACCCGCGUCUGAUUAGCUAGUUGGUGAGGUAACGGCUCACCAAGGCAACGAUCAGUAGCCGACCUGAGAGGGUGAUCGGCCACAUUGGGACUGAGACACGGCCCAAACUCCUACGGGAGGCAGCAGUGGGGAAUAUUGCACAAUGGAGGAAACUCUGAUGCAGCGACGCCGCGUGAAGGAAGAAGGUCUUCGGAUCGUAAACUUCUAUCAGCAGGGACGAUAAUGACGGUACCUGACUAAGAAGCCCCGGCUGACUACGUGCCAGCAGCCGCGGUAAUACGUAGGGGGCAAGCGUUAUCCGGAAUUACUGGGUGUAAAGGGUGCGUAGGCGGUAAUGUAAGUCAGGUGUGAAAGCCCGAAGCUCAACUUCGGGAUUGCACUUGAAACUACAUAACUAGAGUACAGGAGAGGUGAGUGGAAUUCCUAGUGUAGCGGUGAAAUGCGUAGAUAUUAGGAGGAACACCAGUGGCGAAGGCGACUCACUGGACUGUAACUGACGCUGAGGCACGAAAGCGUGGGGAGCAAACAGGAUUAGAUACCCUGGUAGUCCACGCUGUAAACGAUGAAUGCUAGGUGUCGGCUCGUCAAGGGUCGGUGC